AGUGAACGCUGGCGGCGUGCUUAACACAUGCAAGUCGAACGAGAACGGAUUAUAGCUUGCUAUAAUUGUCAGCUAAGUGGCGCACGGGUGAGUAAUGUAUAGGUAAUAUGCCUCUUACUAAGGGAUAACAAUUGGAAACGAUUGCUAAUACCUUAUAUUCCUUUUUAUCAAAAGAUAAAAAGGGAAAGAUUUAUUGGUAAGAGAUUAGCCUGUAUUGUAUCAGUUAGUUGGUGGGGUAAUGGCCUACCAAGACGAUGACGCAUAACUGGUUUGAGAGGAUGAUCAGUCACACUGGAACUGAGACACGGUCCAGACUCCUACGGGAGGCAGCAGUGGGGAAUAUUGCACAAUGGACGAAAGUCUGAUGCAGCAACGCCGCGUGGAGGAUGACACAUUUCGGUGCGUAAACUCCUUUUAUAUAAGAAGAUAAUGACGGUAUUAUAUGAAUAAGCACCGGCUAACUCCGUGCCAGCAGCCGCCGUAAUAC
rnacentral:rRNA from 1 species